UUUUAGGGAGACCUAUCCCACUUAUAGACUGAAAAAAGAUUUGAAUUAGGUCAUAAGAUGGUCAAACCUAGGUCGUGCGAGGAUUGGUAAAGCUUUUAAACUAUUAGAUGGUUCGGAUAUUUAUCCGAAGUUAAACUAGAAUAUGGUGAUAACUUCAGCAACCUGGCUUAUAUGUAAUGUAUAAGUGGGCCUGCUGGAUGAAUUUCCAGUCAGAACCUUGAAAACUGCAUAGUCACGCAAUUAAUGUAGGUAGUUAAUUGGGAAGAGGUAAUGGGUAAUAGGUAAUGGGUAAUAGUCGAAUAGACAAUUACCAAUGACCAAUUAGCGAUUACCGAUGACCAAACGUUUACAGACACCAAUUUACGGCUGU
rnacentral:misc_RNA from 1 species